CCCUUAGAUGUUCUGGGCGGCCCGCGCACUACAUUGGCACUCUCAAUAAGUUCCUAGAUCUAAAACUUUGGGGUAUUCUAUUAAGUGGUGUCGUGACUGGGAUUAACCCUUGCAAUUAUUGGUUACGAACGAGGAAUUCCUUGUAAUCGCGGUUUAUCAGCCCGCGUUGAAUGCGUCCCUGUCCUUUGUACACACCGCCCGUCGCUCCUACCGAUGAAUCGUCCGGUGAAGUUCAUGGAGUGGUGGUUGUUCCAGCUGCUGUCGAAGUGAAAUGGACCUCACGAUUUAGAGGAAGGAGAAGUCGUAACA
rnacentral:rRNA from 1 species